ACGGAAGGCAGCAGUGAGGAAUAUUGGUCAAUGGGCGGAAGCCUGAACCAGCCAAGUCGCGUGAAGGAAGACGGUAUUAUGUAUUGUAAACUUCUUUAGACGCAGAGAAAUAAGGGGCUCGCGAGCUCUGAUGCUAGUAUGCGUAGAAUAAGGAUCGGCUAACUCCGUGCCAGCAGCCGCGGUAAUACGGAGGAUCCGAGCGUUAUCCGGAUUUAUUGGGUUUAAAGGGUGCGCAGGCGGCGCUUUAAGUCAGUGGUCAAAUCGUGAGGCUCAACCUCAUCCCGCCAUUGAUACUGGAGCGCUUGAUUGCGGUUGAGGUAGGCGGAAUUCGUCGUGUAGCGGUGAAAUGCAUAGAUAUGACGAAGAACCCCGAUUGCGUAGGCAGCUUACCAGGCCGUAAAUGACGCUCAUGCACGAAAGUGCGGGGAUCGAACAGGAUUAGAUACCCUGGUA
rnacentral:rRNA from 1 species